CCUACGGGGGGCAGCAGUGGGGAAUUUUGGACAAUGGGCGCAAGCCUGAUCCAGCUAUUCCGCGUGUGGGAUGAAGGCCCUCGGGUUGUAAACCACUUUUGUAGAGAACGAAAAGACACCUUCGAAUAAAGGGUGUUGCUGACGGUACUCUAAGAAUAAGCACCGGCUAACUACGUGCCAGCAGCCGCGGUAAUACGUAGGUGGCAAGCGUUGUCCGGAUUUACUGGGUGUAAAGGGCGUGCAGCCGGGAAGACAAGUCAGAUGUGAAAUCCCGCGGCUCAACCGCGGAACUGCAUUUGAAACUG
rnacentral:rRNA from 1 species